AUAAAAAUGGAAACUACUAUCAAUUAUAUUUAGUUCUGUUUUCAGCAAAAAUGAAGUACUGAGAACUGGUUUAGAAUUUCAGCUUUCAGUGAAGCCAACUGUCAUUUUUACAUGGAUUUGCAGACUAUUGUGAAUUUGAAAGUCUGGCAACAUGAAGACUUCACAACUCAGUCACCUUGUUCAGAAAUUUUUUUUUGGUUUAAACCAGAUGGAAAUGUUGUACAGACAGGAUCCACUGUCUGCAGCCAUACAUAGACUGUGAUAACAAUCAUUUAGUGCAAUAUCUUGUCCUCUCAGUGUUUGUCACAACAGUUGUCUCCCUUCUUCACACAGUGACCACCAGAUGUCAUGGUGGAUGUGGUGGUAGAUAUACAGAGUAUACACUGGUGUUCUCCAGCACUGUAAACAGACAAUAUAUCAUGGUAUCUGCACUGUCAUCAGCUUGGCUGUUUUAGUUUGUGUUGUUUAGUUUCCAUUGUUACAUUGGUCAGGCUUAUUUCCAUUAAUAAGAUUGUACAUAUUGUAAGCUUGUAUUUGUGUGUGAUGCGUGUGUAUGUAGGAUGUUUGUCGAGGAUACAGCCUUGUUAACCUCCACACCUGUUCACUGCCAUGGUAAUACAUCACAGGUGUCAUGAUAUGAGACCAUUCUAACAGAGUGGGACAAUGCUUCACUGAGCAGAUCAAUGCUAGGUCUAGACAUAAGUAGAGACUGUCAACUUGGAUGUGUAGUAGGGUCCACAUGUCAAUAUCGAGCCAUGGCAAUGCAGGGGAGGGACUGGUAAUUUUCGGUUUACAAAAAAAAAAGAUAAUCAUGAAAAUAUCUGGAGGCUUGCACCCAUAUGAAAAUAUGUUUUCACUGGAAAUAUUCAUGGUCUGAAAUAAUGCACUGUGGGUAGAAAACUUGAUUUGAUAGAUUGGUAUUGUUUCACGUUCUGUCUCAAACAAAAGUCCCAGUCUGCCCCAUCCCUAAGGAUAUUGUCAGGUUGAUAUGUAUCCUAAUAUUUGAUUAAACCCCAACUUCCUUGGAUUGCUAAUUGACACUUUAGGUCUCUUCCUCUCAACACUCCCUUGACAUACAUUCCUGUAUCAUACAAACAGUUGACUACAUACUUUCACAAUGGUGUCUGUUUCCGUGAUUAAUAGGAGAAUGAUAUGCUGAGUAUGUCAAAAUAUAUCAUCAGAUAGAGAUAAUUUAUUUGUUUUUCAUUAUUCAGAUUGUUGUUUAAUGCACAUGUAUAUUUAGAAUGAAUGUAAAAUGUGUAUGUGUGUGAUAUGCUAACCUCUCAAGAAACAGUUUGAGGUUAGAGACCCUAUCUCAUCCCCCCUUGUGUAGUAUGGCUUCGUAUCGUCCGACCUGAGUGUGUAUACACAGACUGUUAUCACUGAUAACUUGGCCUUAUGUGUGGCUACCACUGUUGGCCGGCAUGUUUCUUGAGACAUUUUCCAUUGCAGCUUUACAAUGUUUAUUUUGUCUGUGUUUCAACUGAAAAUUGUUAUCCUUGGCUUGGCAGUGGUUGUGCUUUCAUUUUCAGAUUUACUCAAAAUUCAGAAAUAUUUGCAGAGAAGAUGAUUCGUGUUGUAUUGUAGGUGUUUCUUGGUUUGUCAUUUCGGGAUUAGGUUGAUAACAUUUGUAUAUUGUGCCAUGAUGGACGGAGCUCUUACUGUUCCCCAAGACAUGAAAGGGAAGACGGACUGGUCACUUGUUAUUGGGGGAUGGGCUGGUCAGAUUAUAGGGGUGGGGUGGUUAGAUUAUAGGGGUGGACUGGUCAGAUUAUAGGGGUGGGCUGGUCAGAUUAUAGAGGUGGGCUGGUUAGAUUAUAGGGGUGGGCUGGUCAGAUUAUAGGGGUGGGCUGGUCAGAUUAUAGGGAGUGGGCUGGUCAAAAUAUAGGGUGGGGGAGGAUGGGCCAGAUUAUUGGGGAUGGGCUGGUGUGGUCAGGUCAGAUUAUUGGGUUACUAAAACAUGGGAGUUUGGGAAGAAUGUUAUGUUAAAAGGGGAUUAGGUAUUAUAGCAAUUUUACAUCUAGAUUUGGGACAUGCUUGGGACACAGGAAGAGUUUCUUCUCAGUGUGUUGUAUAACACCAGCUCCAUGCUGUGUGGUUACGGUGUUGGUCCAGACUGUAGUAACAUCUUAACAUGUCGGGAUCACACCAGUCAGUUGUACUUCCGGAACAGGACUGUGGUCGUGACGGACUCCGAUGUAGAUAGACAUUCAAGGUGUUCAAGUCCCAACUAGAGGGCCAGACAUCUUAUCUGCCUGUGAUAAUUUCUGUGACAGUUGUCAAGAUCAAAUAUAUAGAUGUAAAGCCAGAUGCUACAGAGGAAAUAUAAUAUAUUAUGUCACCAUGGUAACCCCAACUUCACCCACACAGGUUUUGUCACUUGUAACCUACGUUUAUUCUGCGACAGUAAUUUGGCAAUGUGUAUCCAUUUGCUAUGUAACCAUGGUAACAUAGGGAAAAUUGGGGAAAUUAUUUCAGCUGAUAAAAUGUUCUGAUGAAUAUGUUCUUUUUGCUUUUGUGAAAAUUCACAACUAUGCUCCUAUCUCGCAUGUUCCAAUAUAUUAUUCUUUUGUUCAAAGAGUGAAUUAAACUUUUACUUUGAAUAAAAGUCUGUGUGGGGUUGCCAUGGUGACAUGACUUAGCUAAGGCUGUUUUGUCCUGUGAUGUGUCACCUACCAGUCUUGUAUAUAGUUGUAAGGGGAGUAGUACCUGGAGUUUAUGAUGUACAUAGUUGUAAGGGCAGUAGUACCUGCAGUUUACAUUGUACAUAGUGAAGAGAACAUUUGCACUGUCAUAUUUUCAUCAUUUUUCUCAGAUUGAAAAAGUAUAUAAACUAUUUCAAAAUA